AACCACGAUUGUGUCUUAUGGCUUUCUAUUCCUAUGUGAGUUAUUUACAGCAGGUCAUGUAGGGUUUAAAGCCAUUGGACACGCGGUGGGCA
rnacentral:pre_miRNA from 13 species